rnacentral:piRNA from 1 species
UGCCCGAUGACAUGGAAAAGCAUCCAGGAC